UGGGGAAUAUUGCACAAUGGGCGAAAGCCUGAUGCAGCGACGCCGCGUGGGGGAUGAAGGCCUUAGGGUCGUAAACCCCUUUCAGCAGGGACGAAAAUGACGGUACCUGCAGAAGAAGCUCCGGCCAACUACGUGCCAGCAGCCGCGGUAAGACGUAGGGGGCGAGCGUUGUCCGGAAUUAUUGGGCGUAAAGAGCUCGUAGGCGGUUCCGUAAGUCAGAUGUGAAAAUUCAGGGCUCAACCCUGAGACGCCAUCUGAUACUGCGGUGACUUGAAUCCAGUAGGGGAGUGUGGAAUUCCUGGUGUAGCGGUGAAAUGCGCAGAUAUCAGGAGGAACACCUAUGGCGAAGGCAGCACUCUGGGCUGGUAUUGACGCUGAGGAGCGAAAGCAUGGGUAGCAAACAGGAUUAGAUACCCCCGUAGUCC
rnacentral:rRNA from 1 species